UGCAAUUGGGUGAAGUCCAAGCGAAGGCUCAAGAUGAGAAGAAGGCGUUUAGGGCCAAACGUCACAAGCUUCGUCACAAGAUAAAGGAACUCGAGGGACGAGGUCCUCUUCUGACUGAAGAAGUGCGUAAGCAGAUCCAGGCCGACUAUCGAGAGUCUGACGAGAUUAAUGCUGAGAUCAUGAAGGCUUAUUCCGAAGGCUAUGAAGAUUGUCGGGAGCGUGGUAAGGAAAAAUUGGCUGCUGCUCAGCUAGAUCCAGCUCUGAUCGACUCCGAUGGUGGAGACAGUGCUUGAAUGUCCUUUUUGCUUUUUUCUGAUAUUUUAUUGACUUGUGAAAAUUAUUUAUUUAAACUGUUUAUGUUUUUGGAACUAUUUGAAACUUUAUGUAAGGAUUUUGACAGGAUUUCUACGCUUGUGUAAUUAAUUAGUUAGUGUUAUGGACGAAUUUUGGUUUUGAACAGAUGAAUGAAUAUCUUAUCUUGUCAAUGAAUCCUUAACUUUCUU
rnacentral:lncRNA from 1 species